GUACUUGCGGGGUCCUGACAUGCAUCGGGACGUGAGAUGAGAACGGGUGCAACAAUCCCGCCGUGUUAAACUGUGUCAUACUUCAAAUCAAAGACGAGGCCAAGCACAAUUUCCCUUCAAGCACACAUGUCCAGCUUUACAACGUGACAAAAUCUUGACAGAACUCGGACAGGAAACGUCCAGGAGAGGCGCGCUGCAUCAAGAGCUGGAGAGCUGAUCGAUGUUGAUGAGAGUUCCAGAAGAUGGGGCGUGAAGAGGAUAUCAGAUAACAAGGCGGCGUCGCGUGCUCUGGGAACGAAGCGACAGGCCGUAGUGGAGCGCCACGAGAUGCGUAACUUCCAGUCUGAGAUGUACCCUGCUAUCGCGCCAAUGUCAUGAAGGUCAGCUACGUAGAAAAUGGAUGGAAGGAUAUUUUAAGACGAAGAUCGUCAAUUCCUCAACUUUGCAAAGACUGAAAAAGAGGAUAUUCUCUGCAGUCGAGCCAGUCAGAGGGUCCUCAGAUUUUGGAAGACCAGAAGAGUCACAGAAAGCAGAUCCUGAUUGUACUGUAAAUGUUGCCGUUUGUCAGAAAGAUUUGAGUUUUCGAAAGCCUUGCACGAUUAACUCGAGUAAUUUGAUUAGAAAAAAGAUUAGUUGUAAUGGUUUGUUUUGAAAGUGUUUGCAUUUAGUUUUGUUGAUUUGGGUGGAUCCACUGCCUUAUAGUGGCAACAGUGAAUAUGACAUAACUCAUCUUCAUCUAAAAUGGCCAAAUCCAGCUGCUCCUUGUUGAGACCAAUAUAAGCUAAGUUUUUGUUUGAGCUUGUCUUUGUUUAAUGCAUUUGUAAUUUAGUCGUUUUUUUGUGUGUGUGAAUAUGUGUUUGAACCGUUUGUUAAGAGCAUCGUUAAAAAGAAAAAAAGGUAGUAUUUUAUAGCAUUUAAGCUAGCAGACAUUUGCUAUAUAAGUUAGCCAAUUGGUCUUUUGCUGUACUUAAAUGGUGUUGUAAUGGUUUGUUUUGAAAGUGUUUGCAUUUAGUUUUAUUGAUUUGGAUGAAUACACUGCCCUCUAGUGGAAACAGUAAAUAUGACAUAACUCAUUUCACAUGGCUGAAUCCAGCUGCUCCCUGUUAAGACAUCAUAAGCUCAGUUGUUUUUUUUUUUUUUUUUUUUUUUUUAAUGCAUUCGUAAUUUAGUUUAUAGGGAAAUUUGGCCAUUUAUGGGAAUAUGUGUUUGAACCGUGUUUUAAGAGCAUCAUAACAUUUUUUUUUAAAGUAUAGCAUUUCAGCUAGCGGACUUUUUCUUAUGUAAGUUAGCCAAUUGUUCUUUUGUUGUACCUAUCCUCAUUUAUUUAUUUAUUUUUUUUAUACCAUUUGAGGCUCAGCUCAGGUAUUGAAUUUUGUUUUCGUGCAAUUGACGGUGAUGGAUGUCUAGUGCGUUUUGGCCAGGCCUCCCAGUCAAAGGGUUGGACGUCUUUGGCUGUCAAUUGCAGCUAAUCGAUAAAUUUACCAACUCAUCUGAACCUUUUUACUGUAGCAUCUUUAAAGUGUUGCAGUUGUUAAUAUGCUAUGCUAUAUGUUUAUCAUUCUCCAUGGCAGUCAAUGAGCCCUUUGAAUAUAUGUUCAUACCUGAAGAAAAGCCAUAUAUUUUGACAGUGCUAAAACUAUGUUAAGCCUUUAUUUAGAUUGAUAAAUGUUUAAAUUGUAGUACUAAAUUGAUUCGCACAUUAGCUGUGAUGUGACUGUGAUUUCAGGCUAAAAAAAUGUUUCCUGAAAUAUGCGGUCGGUGCAUCUCUGAUGCUAGUGACAACCCAAACAUUUGGAAAAUUGGUUGUUAACCGCAAACUAUUUUGGCAUAAUACCAGUUAAAGCACUCUUCGGAAACAUCGCUACUGUUCCUAUCGGGUUAUUUGAUAAACUGGCUAAUACACAGUGAUUGGACGUCAUUCACUGUCAAUUGGUCGAUCCAUUUGUACGCAGAGAGGCUGGCAUCCCUCUCAAGUCUUGCAUGUUUGGUAACAAAAAUUCACUGUACUAUUACGCCCAUGAUGUAUUACUAAUGCUAAUCCUAAAUGCUAACUCAACAACUGUGUAAUGUUCAUUGUCUGCUUGGUCUUGACUAUUGAACAACUGAGAAUUUCUGUGCUCACUGAUGGUUGUGUUAAUGUGACUCAAUAAACGAUGAAGGUGUGGUUAUUUCUUUC